AAGGGUACAACUGAAGAGAUUAUAUUUGCAGAGAUGAUCUUAAGUUUCAACUAAUCCAUCUAAUACUGUAUAAAUUGUAUAUUAUAGAUGUGUAUUCGCCCACCUUAUUCUUUAUCUUACAGAAGCACUUUCAGACAGCGUGGAUCUACCUGGAAAAUGAAGAUUCUCUUGAAGCCGGUUUUGUCGUAAAUGCGGCAUGAGUUGCAAGUGGUUGCCAUCAAUGGCGUGAUGGUUGAUACAGGUGAAUGAUGGUGGCAUGAUGAAUAGUCGGUUACGUUGGUGAGAGAGGAAUUGAUGGUGGCGCAAUGGAUGGCGAGAGACGAAUAAUGGUGACGCGAUGGUCGACGU